rnacentral:hammerhead_ribozyme from 1 species
AUCCAUCCGACUCGCCUCAAAUAGGACGAAACGCGCGUCCUGGAU